GACGAACGCUGGCGGCGUGCCUAACACAUGCAAGUCGAGCGAGGGAAACUCUUCGGAGUGGAACUAGCGGCGGACGGGUGAGUAACACGUGGGCAACCUGCCUCGUAGAGGGGAAUAGCCUUUCGAAAGGAAGAUUAAUACCGCAUAACAUUGCAUUUUCGCAUGAAGAAGCAAUUAAAGGAGCAAUCCGCUAUAAGAUGGGCCCGCGGCGCAUUAGCUAGUUGGUGAGGUAACGGCUCACCAAGGCGACGAUGCGUAGCCGACCUGAGAGGGUGAUCGGCCACAUUGGGACUGAGACACGGCCCAGACUCCUACGGGAGGCUG
rnacentral:rRNA from 1 species